rnacentral:misc_RNA from 1 species
GGCGAUAAACAAUGUAUACGGGAUCGUAGUAGCAUAAUGGCUCGACAUUUCUUUGCAGAUAAGAGUGAAGACUUCAUAAAUGCACAGGUAAGUGCACUUCUAUCUUCCUUGGACAUCGACACCAGUAAACAGGUUAGGGGGCCUCAACCUGGUAGGUUCCAUGAGUUGGAGGAUUAUUGGAAUGAAUCUCAAGCUCUCCAGAGACCUGGUGGUCAUAUUGCAGAUGGGUGGGCUUCUGAAUAUAGCCUUAACAGGGAAAAGUAUGGUGGUCAUGACGCUUGGGCUCAAUCCUUUGAACAACAAUAUGGUGCCAAUGGCUGGGCCUCUGAGUUUGAGCAGGAGAAGUUUCAGUUAGCAUCGGCAGAAAGAAUUGGUGGUAAUAUGAUGAACUUAUCUGCAAUGGAGCAGACUCGCAAGCUUGCAAAUACAUUAGCUGAAAAUAACGACCCUAAAUUUCAGAACUCAAAGUUCCUUCAGUUUGUUUCGAAGAUGAGUAGGGGUGAACUUAUUAUUGAUGAUAA